rnacentral:rRNA from 1 species
GACGAACGCUGGCGGCGUGCCUAAUACAUGCAAGUAGAACGCUGAAGGAGGAGCUUGCUUCUCUGGAUGAGUUGCGAACGGGUGAGUAACGCGUAGGUAACCUGCCUGGUAGCGGGGGAUAACUAUUGGAAACGAUAGCUAAUACCGCAUAAUAGUAGAUGUUGCAUGACAUUUGCUUAAAAGGUGCAAUUUCAUCACUACCAGAUGGACCUGCGUUGUAUUAGCUAGUUGGUGGGGUAACGGCUCACCAAGGCGACGAUACAUAGCCGACCUGAGAGGGUGAUCGGCCAAAAUGGGACUGAGAAACGGCCCAGACUCCUACGGGAGGCAGCAGUAGGGAAUCUUCGGCAAUGGACGGAAGUCUGACCGAGCAACGCCGCGUGAGUGAAGAAGGUUUUCGGAUCGUAAAGCUCUGUUGUAAGAGAAGAACGAGUGUGAGAGUGGAAAGUUCACACUGUGACGGUAUCUUACCAGAAAGGGACGGCUAACUACGUG